AUACCCUGAAGACAGAAGGCCGUGUCCUAUUUGCGGAACACAGUUAGCUGAAAGGUUUCAUGAUGGUGCCUUUUCAGCUGAGUUGUGCUGUAGAGGAGAACUACAAAAAGAUGCUGCACUCACUUUUCUCCUUCUACGGGUUUUCUGCAAGCAGAGAUUCCAAGAUUUAGUGGGAAACUGCCCAGCUACCGAAAUGCAGACUAUGGAGAUAACAGAC
rnacentral:lncRNA from 1 species